UACGUGCGGGGCGAACGUUGUUCGGUGUCACUGGGCUUAAAGGGUGCGUAGGUGGUUGCGUAAGUAACGUGUGAAAUCCCUCGGCUUACCCGGGGAAUUGCGCGUUAUACUGCGUGACUUGAGGAUUUCAGGGGAAUGGGGAACUCCAGGUGUAGCGGUGAAAUGCGCAGAUAUCUGGGGGAAGGCCGGCGGCGAAGGCGCCAUUCUGGGAAAUUCCUGACACUGAGGCACGAAAGCGUGGGGAGCAAACAGG
rnacentral:rRNA from 1 species